UAUGUGAUCGUCUCUCGCAUAUCAAUAAGCGGAGGAAAAGAAACUAACAAGGAUUCCCCUAGUAACGGCGAGUGAAGCGGGAAGAGCUCAAAUUUGAAAUCUUAAAGGGUUUCCCUUUACGAAUUGUAGUUUAAAGAAGUGUUUUCUGUUGAGGUUUUGGUAAAAGUUCUUUGGAAUAGGACAUCAUAGAGGGUGAGAAUCCCGUAUUUGACCUUUACUUUCAACUUUGUGAUACACUUUCAAAGAGUCGGAUUGUUUGGGAAUGCAGUCCAAAAUGGGUGGUAAGUUUCAUCUAAAGCUAAAUAUUGGCGAGAGACCGAUAGCGAACAAGUACCGUGAGGGAAAGAUGAAAAGAACUUUGAAAAGAGAGUUAAACAGUACGUGAAAUUGUCAAAAGGGAAGCGUUUGACACCAGUGUUGUUUUUCUGAAAAUCAAUUAAAGAACUGUUUAUGCUAAGCUGUUUAGACUUUAUCAGCUAUCUGUUUAGUUUUGAGCUUUUCUUUGAUGCACUUUUCAGUUAACAAGUCAACAUCAAUUUCUUUUGCUGUGAAAAAGCUUGAGGAAGGUGGCUUGAGAUUCGUCUUAAGUGUUUAUAGCCUCUUGCCUAUGCAGUCGGAGAGAUUGAGGUCUGCAGCGUAGAUCCUUCGGGGCUAAAUGCAUUUGUGCUAAGUUAUAACAUUUUAUAGACAACUUGUUGACUAUGAUUUGUCUUGUAGCUUACUCGCUUAUGUUAUUUUACCUACGCUUAGGAUGUUGAGUAGCGACAUACGCAC
rnacentral:rRNA from 1 species